AACAUCGGGAUUCUGUUGAGUGCUCGUCACAGUCGAGACCAAAAUCUCUGCGGGACCGUUUUGGUGUGUCUGUAACUCUGACCUCUAAAAAUGGGUUCUGUGAGAAGAGGAGAAGGAAUUGGAAUCAUUUCUGAGGUUUCCCUCUCCCCAGAUACCUGUGAGCUGUGGAGCUGCUGGAAGUGCCCUUUGCAAAGCAACUUCACUGGAUGUCAACAAAAUUAUUAUUCUAUCACCUACUAUCAAUUCACUUCUGCUGGUCACUUCCUGAGGACCUUCAUAAAGCAUG